AUCAUCGGUGUCUUCCGCAUUUAACCCUCUGAAUCAGGUGUGGGGGCUGCCUUAAUCAAUGUUCACAUCAUCGGUGUCUUCCGCAUUUAACCCUCUGAAUCAGGUGUGGGGGCUGCCUUAAUCAAUGUUCACAUCAUCGGUGUCUUCCGCAUUUAACCCUCUGAAUCAGGUGUGGGGGCUGCCUUAAUCAAUGUUCACAUCAUUGGUGUCUUCCGCAUUUAACCCUCUGAAUCAGGUGUGGGGGCUGCCUUAAUCAAUGUUCACAUCAUCGGUGUCUUCCGCAUUUAACCCUCUGAAUCAGGUGUGGGGGCUGCCUUAAUCAAUGUUCACAUCAUCGGUGUCUUCCUCAUUUAACCCUCUGAAUCAGGUGUGGGGGCUGCCUUAAUCAAUGUUCACAUCAUCGGUGUCUUCCACAUUUAACCCUCUGAAUCAGGUGUGGGGGCUGCCUUAAUCAAUGUUCACAUCAUCGGUGUCUUCCACAUUUAACCCUCUGAAUCAGGUGUGGGGGCUGCCUUAAUCAAUGUUCACAUCAUCGGUGUCUUCCACAUUUAACCCUCUGAAUCAGGUGUGGGGGCUGCCUUAAUCAAUGUUCACAUCAUCGGUGUCCUCCACAUUUAACCCUCUGAAUCAGGUGUGGGGGCUGCCUUAAUCAAUGUUCACAUCAUCGGUGUCUUCCACAUUUAACCCUCUGAAUCAGGUGUGGGGGCUGCCUUAAUCAAUGUUCACAUCAUCGGUGUCUUCCACAUUUAACCCUCUGAAUCAGGUGUGGGGGCUGCCUUAAUCAAUGUUCACAUCAUUGGUGUCUUCCACAUUUAACCCUCUGAAUCAGGUGUGGGGGCUGCCUUAAUCAAUGUUCACAUCAUCGGUGUCUUCCACAUUUAACCCUCUGAAUCAGGUGUGGGGGCUGCCUUAAUCAAUGUUCACAUCAUCGGUGUCUUCCACAUUUAACCCUCUGAAUCAGGUGUGGGGGCUGCCUUAAUCAAUGUUCACAUCAUCGGCGCCCAGGUGUUGUUGGGGGUUAACUGCCUUGUCAGAACAGCAGAUUUUUCUACCUUGCCGACUCGGGGAUUCGAACCAGCAACCUUUCGGUUACUGGCCAAACACUCUUAACCGCAAGAGAGAUGGUAGAGUCAUUCACAAUGCUCCCAAACUGAGAAGAUAUAGCUAUUUUUUUCUCUCUCUAAUCUCUAUUCUAUCCUAAGAUUAGUUUGUGGUUAGAUUAUGUGUGUAUCUGUGUGCGCCAAUUAAUGUGCCUGUGUGUGCGUGUCUUCUGCAGUAUGAAUCAUCAGGGCUGGGUUUGAUCAGCAGCCGACUGAGAACAACACUGAACAGAAUCCAGGAGAGCCUCAUCCAAAUGGCAAGCAAAAAAUCUCUCAUUUUCAAACUCUGUCUCUCUCUCUUCCCUCUCUCUUUCUCUCUAUAUCUCUCUCUCUCUCUCUUCCCUCUCUCUUUCUCCCUCUCUUUCUCCCUCUCUCUCUUUCUCUCUCUCUCUCUCUCUCUCUCUCUCUCUCUCGCCCCCCUCUCUCUC